GGUCUUCAAAGGGUGUGGUGAAAUAUGAGCCUCUGGGGGAUGCGGUCCAGAAUAGCACAUACCGGAUCAACAGCUACUUGGACAACAAGUGCAGACCAUGGCCUGUCCACGAGAUCAUUCACUUGGCAAGGGAGAGGAUUGACAAAAAGUUUCACUACAACAUUCUUUGUUCAAAUUGUGAGCACUUUGCCACUCAGAUAUGACGAGCACCACAGCAAGCAGGGUAAACGUGCGGUGUCUAUCAUUGUGGCUUGGAUGGGAGUGACUUGUAUGAUUUGAGUCAUUCUUGCCCAAAGUUAUCACUGCUUGAAGAAGCCAUUAAAAAUUCCCUAGUUAGAGGCUGCUUCACAGACCAGCUGCUCCUCUGUGUGCCUCAUUCUCUCUCUCACUGGCUUUUGGAAGGACCAAUUUUAACAAGACUGAACUUCUUGAAGAAUCAAAUGAAGGAACCUAGUGACCCCUUCAUCAGAUAUUUCCACUACUUGAUUAUAGAUUCAUGAAUCAUUGGAAAGGAAGCAACUAUGAUUGAGCACUUGUUGAGUACUUCCGGCUGCACACCUUUGAAAGAGUCUCCUAAAAUCUGAGCUUCCACUGCAUUUAUAUUAUAGGGGUAACAAGGACGGUUUCACCAUGUUUUGCUGAGAUUAAAUGAGAUGGUGUAAAAUGGCUUGGUACAAUCCCUGACCAUAGCAGAUGCUCAAUAAAUUUGCUCCUUGCAUUUA